rnacentral:lncRNA from 1 species
AGUGAAGUCAUUAACCACGUUUAAACAUCUCUUCUCACAGAUGAUAAUCUAUUAAGUAAAAUUAAUUACACAGUAUUGUCUAAUUAUUAUCUCCAUAAAAAUCAUCCAAUCUUAAUUUGGUUAUAUAUCCACAUAGGAAAACAUCAAUAAGGUAAUACGGGGAAAGUAGAGCAAAACCCCUUCAGGAGGCUGGUAUUAUUAGGAGGGGACAAACACUGCCUUAUAGGCUAACCAUGUUAUAGUAGGCUUUGAGGAAGAUAAUUAGAUUUGCAAAGUAGAUAAUUCUGCGUAAUACCAAGCCAUAGUAAAAGGGGACUCUAAGGUAGAUGAACAAAAAUUGUAAUGAGAGGGAAAAUACUAUUUUCCUAAUUAGCGAUACAAUGCUUGGCAAAUAGAUUUGGUAUGGUUUUAAAAUGUACAAGAGGUGAAAAAAAAAAUCACCAUUUUAACUUCCCUCAAAAUCAUGCAUACAGGUUUUUUUUUUUUAACACAAUACAUUCUGGGAUACAAAUCACAAUAAACAGUUGCUAUAAUUUAAAUGUAUAUCUUAAAAUUAACAUGUAUAAUAAUUAGGCAUAAAGAUAAAGAAUCCUCUACAUAUAAGUAAUACCAAUGGGGGAAAGGUCUACUUUAGACUGAAAAAAUUAGUCACAAGUCACCUGGAAAGUGUACAAGUGAAUGAAACUUUUAUGCAAAAUUUCAGAGGCAUUAGAAAUAUCUCCGUAUUUAAUACAGUAUGAAAUGUACUAAGCAGGUAUACAAUGCUCUUGCACGGCAUAAUUACUAGAUGAUAUUGUUACACAGCGCUUUACUGAUCUGAUUUUUCAUCUAGAUUAUCCCUUAAUCUGAAGACCACAGUUUUAAGAUUCCAAUGCCUACACUUCAGUAACAGUACUAGUAGCAAGUUAGUGUUUUCCCCCUUGUAAUAUUUGCAAAAGACAAAAACAAAAACUCAAUAAGCAAAGCUGUGUGUUUUAUUUAAAGUACUACUAAAGAAGGAUUUAAGUUGCAGUUAUGCAUGGCACACUCUUCUCUUGGGAAGAGUGUCUUUUGCACCGUUAUCUGUUAAUACAUUCAAUAUGAAUAAUAUAGAUUAAUUAUAUGAAGCAAAAAACCCACUUUUUUUUUCUUAUGGCAAAGGGCUUAAGUUAAAUUUAGACU